UACGUAGGGGGCAAGCGUUGUCCGGAAUCAUUGGGCGUAAAGAGCGUGUAGGCGGCCCGAUAAGUCCGCUGUGAAAGUCCAGGGCUCAACCCUGGAAUGCUGGUGGAUACUGUCGGGCUCGAAUCCGGAAGAGGUGAGUGGAAUUCCUGGUGUAGCGGUGAAAUGCGCAGAUAUCAGGAGGAACACCAAUGGCGAAGGCAGCUCACUGGGACGGUAUUGACGCUGAGACGCGAAAGCGUGGGGAGCAAACUGG
rnacentral:rRNA from 1 species